GGUUCCAUAGUGUAGAUGGUCAUCACUCCAGACUCUGAAGCUGCGCCGAAUUGGCAUGAUAGAAAUCUGGCGACCCGAGUUCGAAUCUCGGUGGGACCU